GGAAGGAGGUGUGCAGCCUGCUUUUAGAAGCCUUAAAAGAGCAACACACUGAUGUUGAAACUACAGACCCCAAACCACCAAAGGAAAAAAAA